rnacentral:rRNA from 1 species
ACGGGGCAUUGCUCAGUAGCGGCGAGUGAAGCGGCAAAAGCUCCAUUUUGAAAGCUCUUCGGAGCGUUGUAGAUUGGUGGGAAGCUAACGGCUGGUGGGAGACCAAGUCCUCUGGAACGAGGCGCCAUAGAGGGUGAGAGCCCCGUGUGUCUCCUUUACCGACCUUUCAGCCCCCUCCGCGGAGUCGAGUUGUUUGGGAAUGCAGCUCUAAGUGGGUGGUAAAUUCCAUCUAAGGCUAAAUAUUGGCGAGAGACCGAUAGCGAACAAGUACAGUGAUGGAAAGAUGAAAAGCACUUUGAAAAGAGAGUGAAACAGUACGUGAAAUUGUUGAAAGGGAAGGGUAUUUGGCCCGACAUGGGUCCUAUGCACCGUUGCCUCUCGUGGGCGGCGCUCUGCUUGGGCCUGGGCCAGCGUCAGUUUGGAGGGGGCGAGAAGGGUUUUGGGGAGUUGCCUAGCAAUUCCCCUUUGCUAGAUUGCCCCACACCGGACUGAGGACCGCCAUCUGUAGGAUGCUGGCACAACGGCCAAAUACCGCCCGUCUUGAAMMMACRGGACACAA